rnacentral:rRNA from 1 species
CCAGACUCCUACGGGAGGCAGCAGUGGGGAAUAUUGGGUAAUGGACGCAAGUCUGACCCAGCAACGCCGCGUGAAGGAAGAAGGCUUUCGGGUUGUAAACUUCUUUUAAGGGGGAAGAGUAGAAGACGGUACCCCUUGAAUAAGCCACGGCUAACUACGUGCCAGCAGCCGCGGUAAUACGUAGGGGGCAAGCGUUAUCCGGAUUUACUGGGUGUAAAGGGAGCGUAGACGGCAUGGCAAGUCAGAUGUGAAAGCCCGGGGCUCAACCCCGGGACUGCUCUGGAAACUGCGUCGCUGGAGUACGGGAGGGGCAGGCGGAAUUCCUGGUGUAGCGGUGAAAUGCGUAGAUAUCAGGAGGAACACCGGCGGCGAAGGCGGCUUACUGGACGGCAACUGACGUUGAGGCCCGAAAGCGUGGGGAGCGAACAGGAUUAGAUACCCGCGUAC